rnacentral:rRNA from 1 species
UACGUAGGGUGCGAGCGUUGUCCGGAAUUAUUGGGCGUAAAGAGCUUGUAGGCGGUUUGUCGCGUCUGCUGUGAAAAUCCGGGGCUCAACCCCGGACUUGCAGUGGGUACGGGCAGACUAGAGUGUGGUAGGGGAGACUGGAAUUCCUGGUGUAGCGGUGGAAUGCGCAGAUAUCAGGAGGAACACCGAUGGCGAAGGCAGAUCUCUGGGCCGUAACUGACGCUGGAGGAGCGAAAGCGUCGGGGAGCGAACAGG